UUCAGUGGCAUUAAUUAUAUUCACAUUGUUGUGCAACCACCACCUCUAUUUCCAAAGCUUUUUCAUAACCCCAAAUGAACUCUAUAGCUUUUAAGCAUCUUGAAAGAGGUGACUCUGGGA